GACGAACGCUGGCGGCGUGCUUAACACAUGCAAGUCGAACGGUGAAGCGCCUUCCUUUUUGGUGGGUGUGGAUGAGUGGCGAACGGGUGAGUAACACGUGGGUAACCUGCCCCCUUCUUCUGGAUAACCGCAUGAAAGUGUGGCUAAUACGGGAUAUUCUGGGUCUGUCGCAUGAUGGGUCUGGGAAAGAUAUUGUUUCGGUGGGGGAUGGGCUCGCGGCCUAUCAGCUUGUUGGUGGGGUGAUGGCCUACCAAGGCGGUGACGGGUAGCCGGCCUGAGAGGGUGGACGGUCACACUGGGACUGAGACACGGCCCAGACUCCUACGAGAGGCAGCAGUGGGGAAUAUUGCACAAUGGGCGCAAGCCUGAUGCAGCGACGCCGCGUGAGGGAUGGAGGCCUUCGGGUUGUGAACCUCUUUCGCCAGUGAAGCAGGCCUGCCUCGUUUGUGGGUGGGUUGACGGUAGCUGGAUAAGAAGCGCCGGCUAACUACGUG
rnacentral:rRNA from 1 species